AGAGAGACUGUGGUCCUCUCAGUCUCAGCCCAGUGUUGGCCUGUGGUUGGUCUGUUGGUCCUCCCACAAUGUUGGACAUAUUCAUCCUCAUGUUCUUUGCCAUCGUGGGACUGGUCAUCCUCUCCUACAUCAUCUACGUGCUGUGACUGUCAGAACAGAGCAGAUCAGGGUGUGGGGGGGUGUGGGGGGUGUUGAUGAUUGAUGAAGGUGGGGAUGGAGAUGGAAGAAGCAGCUCCUAGGAUUCUGGAUGUCCCUCCACAUCCCACAGCGGCCGCCAUGGAGCAUCAUCUCCAUCCCGGCCCUCAACCAGGAACCGCGGGAAGUCCUGAGGAGCAUCCACCGGCACAUCUGCAGGGAGACAGAUUGGCAACAGCGGCUGAGAAACCCCCCCACCACCCAGCCUCACCCCCGGGACAUGUAACUCUGAUGGCACAAUAAUACAGAGCUGCGCCCACUCGCCCACUAAGAGGAAACAGCCCAUCAACGUGGAACUUAUCGUGAUGCUAAACCACUUCGAUCAGUUCCCCUCUCACUCAUCUCAACUCAACGCCAGAGAGAAAUGCUCUGACCUGACCGACCACUGUGCUCACCCGUCCCUGGUGACAUCCUCGGAAAUCUACGUCAACAAAACUACAUUUUCUUUGUUGAAUAUUUUGGGGGUUUGUGCCAUAAAUCAAGGAAUAUUCGAUCCAAGCAAAGACUGAAAGCACACUACCGAUCGAACCCGGACUGACGUAGACUCGUGGGAAUGUUCGGCGGGUGGGAGAGGGGGGAGAGGAA